rnacentral:pre_miRNA from 1 species
AGUUUGUAUCUUUUGACAGAUACGCGUAUUUCGACCUCAACUGUAAGGCCGUCUUCAGUGUCGACACUGGAGACGGCCUUACAGUUGAGGUCGAAAUACGCGUAUCUGUCAAAAGAUACCAACUA